UCGAGAACACUAUCCAACCAUCUCGUCCUCUGUCGUCCCCUUCUCCUUGUGCCCUCCAUCUUUCCCAACAUCAGGGUCUUUUCCAGGGAGUCUUCUCUUCUCAUGAGGUGGCCAAAGUAUUGGAGCCUCAGCUUCAGGAUCUGUCCUUCCAGUGAGCACUCAGGGCUGAUUUCCUUCAGAAUGGAGAGGUUUGAUCUUCUUGCAGUCCAUGGGACUCUCAAGAGUCUCCUCCAGC
rnacentral:lncRNA from 1 species